rnacentral:misc_RNA from 1 species
GACGUAGGGGGCGAGCGUUAUCCGGAUUCACUGGGCGUAAAGGGCGCGCAGGCGGCUAUGUAAGUCCGGCGUGAAAUCCCACGGCUCAACUGUGGAACUGCGUCGGAUACUGCAUUGGCUUGAGGAUGGUAGAGGCCAUUAGAACUAGCGGUGUAGCGGUGAAAUGCGCAGAUAUCGCUAGGAAUGCCGGUGGCGAAGGCGGAUGGCUGGGCCACUCCUGACGCUGAGGCGCGAAAGCUAGGGGAGCGAACCGG